rnacentral:rRNA from 1 species
UACGAAGGGGGCUAGCGUUGUUCGGAUUUACUGGGCGUAAAGCGCACGUAGGCGGAUCGUUAAGUCGGGGGUGAAAUCCUGGAGCUCAACUCCAGAACUGCCUUCGAUACUGGCGAUCUAGAGUCCGGAAGAGGUGAGUGGAAUUCCUAGUGUAGAGGUGGAAUUCGUAGAUAUUCGGAAGAACACCAGUGGCGAAGGCGACUUACUGGACACAUAUUGACGCUGAGGUGCGAAAGCGUGGGGAGCAAACAGG